rnacentral:lncRNA from 1 species
CAAAGUUUCAAAAGAAUUCUCUCAAAUUUUGCGACACUCCUCAAGCCAUCUGAUUUGACAUCAAAUGGCUAGGAGUAAUUAUGAUCUCCUUGUAAGAAAGUCUCAUAGUAUACCAUCUCAGAAUUAAAAAGUAAUCAUACCUCCUUAUGAAAAUUUAUUUUUCAUCAUUCUCUCAAAAGAGUACAAAUCUUAUUGAGAGAUUCAUAUUUCUCUCAAAUGACUCACAAAUCAUAUUGGGAGAGGAGAUUCAUAAGUCUAAAUAGCUGAUAUUUUAAUAAUUUUCCCUAAAAAUUUGGCAUCUAGGGUGUGAUACUAAAACUAUUGGGGGUAGGAUGUCAGCAAAAUUGAUUUUGGGGGUAGUACUAAUUUUCCCUAAUUUUAUUAUAAAAAAAUUCUCCAUUUAUCACCAAUUAACAACAACCAAAAUAUAGAAUGAGUAAUCAUACCAAUAAUAUUAUUGCUGAUAUAUUACAACUUUUUAACAAAUUAUUUAGGUUUGUGCUGCACCCUUUCCACAGAGUAUAAAUUUUAUAUCAAAAUAUCACCAAUUGAUAACAAUAAAACUACAGAGAAGCAAUAAUCAUACCAAUAACACAUUCUUAUGAUUUUUAUUUCUAAAAACUAGCAAGUAAUUCAUAACAGAAAACAUGAUAAAAUGGUUCAAAGAGAUAACCAAAUUUCGAAUUUACAUAGAAAGAUAGGAAUGUACUCAGUAUUAGGUUCCUAAACUGAAAUUGGGGAAAAUUUAGUGAACUUAAAUUAUAUAUUCUCCACCAAAUUGCACAAAAAAAAAACAUAAGCAUGAGAAAAUCGAAGAAAGAAUUUCAUGCAUUACAGCCUUAAGAAUAACAAUAAAGAAAUUAAUCUCAGAUUGUCUAGUGUCACGGUAGCUGUACCUGAUAAAACACUUCAAUGGGCCUUUGAAGGCAACCCUAAUUUUCCCUUUGAGAACACGAAUUUUCCUUUUGGCCCUAAAAUUUCACCAAAAGAAACAAGAUCAGAGACCAUAAUGAGAUACAAUAAAUCAAAUACAAACAAUAAGAAACUGCUCGGAAAAGACCGACAGAGAGAGAGAGAGAGAGACUCUGUCCAAACCAAGAAAAAAAGAGACAAAGAAGGGGAAACUCACCUCAGUUUUCUUCUUCUACUUCUGGUUUUAUGAGAAAUAAUAAGGGAGGGAGGAAGAGAGGAUACGUCUUUAAAGUGUGGGGUUCAAAACCCUAAAAACACAAUGGUGUUUCAGUAGAGAGAGGAAGUUUAGCAUAGAAAGAGCGAAAUGAGUUGAGAUUUCCGGGUAGAGAGGGAAGAAGCCCUACAAGAACCAGGGCCGGGUUAGGUUUCGAUGUCUUGGGGCAGGGCAGCAGCGUUACCUGCCCUUCAGGGCUCUGAAAAUAGAAAUUGUACCGUGAAAAUAGAAAUUGUACGGAUAAUGAAGCAAGUCACCGGUGAUUCACACGGUCCACAUUAACUUUUGGAUUCUCAUCUGGAGAGUUCUGAUCGUACAUUAGAUUCUCAUCUCAAGGGUCUAAAUCAUACGGUUGACAACGCGCAAGCGGUCCACAAAUUGUCCAUACGGUGUUGUUGUUUCUCGAGUAAAAGGACCCCCUGACCUGACCAGUGACCACGAGUUGACGGUGCAAGACCAUGUAUUGAGGUCUCGCGGGAUCGCCUAAGAGGCGCUCAACAGAUAAAGGUGAAGAACUCCUCAUUUCAAAGGCAGUUACAACAAUUCCUUCCCUCCAAGCAAUGGAUCUUCGCCUGAAAAAAAACACAUAAUGUUUACACGCUGUAUACAAUCCAGAGAGAGACAGAUACCACGUUCUUCUCGACUGAAAGUUAAUCAAGAUAUAGAUAGAGAAUAUAUGUUCGCGUGGUCCCGCCUAGAAAACCACGUGAAUUUCACUCAAAGCUAGAGGGAGAGGAACCACUUAUUCCUCCAUUGAUAGAGAGGGGAAACCACGUCUCACUGCCCUGCCCUGCCCUGCACGUUAUUGAGAGAAACAUGUUAUCCUCCACAGCAAAUUUCUCUUCGAUUCUCGCCCCCAAAUU